UCAUGAUCAUUUAAUAAUGGAAACUGUCUACUACUUCUAAGGAUCCCCACUGACAUUUGAGGGAGCCAGUUUUUUGUUCAUUCCAGGUGUUUAA